rnacentral:tRNA from 1 species
GCCCCCGUGGCGGAAUUGGUAGACGCGACGGAUUCAAAAUCCGUUUCUUUAACCGGAGUGUCCGUUCGAGUCGGACCGGGGGCA